CUACGGGAGGCACCAGUGAGGAAUAUUGCACAAUGGGGGGAACCCUGAUGCAGCAACGCCGCGUGGAGGAUGACGCAUUUCGGUGUGUAAACUCCUUUUAUAUGUCAAGAAAAUGACGGUAGCAUAUGAAUAAGCACCGGCUAACUCCGUGCCAGCAGCCGCGGUAAUACGGAGGGUGCAAGCGUUACUCGGAAUCACUGGGCGUAAAGGACGCGUAGGCGGGUUGGAAAGUCAGGUGUGAAAUCCUACAGCUUAACUGUAGAACUGCACUGGAAACUUCUAAUCUAGAGUAUGGGGGGGGAGAUGGAAUUAGGGGUGUAGGGGUAAAAUCCGUAGAUAUCACUAGGAAUACCUAAAGCGAAGGCGAUCUCCUGGAACAUUACUGACGCUAAGGCGUGAAAGCGUGGGGAGCAAACAGGAUUAGAUACCCCCGUAGUC
rnacentral:rRNA from 1 species